AGAGUUUGAUCCUGGCUCAGGAUGAACGCUAGCGGCAGGCCUAACACAUGCAAGUCGAGGGGCAUCGGGAUUGAAGCUUGCUUCAAUUGCCGGCGACCGGCGCACGGGUGCGUAACGCGUAUGUAACCUACCUAUAACAGGGGCAUAACACUGAGAAAUUGGUACUAAUUCCCCAUAAUAUUCGGAGAGGCAUCUCUCCGGGUUGAAAACUCCGGUGGUUAUAGAUGGACAUGCGUUGUAUUAGCUAGUUGGUGAGGUAACGGCUCACCAAGGCAACGAUACAUAGGGGGACUGAGAGGUUAACCCCCCACACUGGUACUGAGACACGGACCAGACUCCUACGGGAGGCAGCAGUGAGGAAUAUUGGUCAAUGGACGCAAGUCUGAACCAGCCAUGCCGCGUGCAGGAAGACGGCUCUAUGAGUUGUAAACUGCUUUUGUACGAGGGUAAACUCACCUACGUGUAGGUGACUGAAAGUAUCGUACGAAUAAGGAUCGGCUAACUCCGUGCCAGCAGCCGCGGUAAUACGGAGGAUUCAAGCGUUAUCCGGAUUUAUUGGGUUUAAAGGGUGCGUAGGCGGUUUGAUAAGUUAGAGGUGAAAUCCCGGGGCUUAACUCCGGAACUGCCUCUAAUACUGUUAGACUAGAGAGUAGUUGCGGUAGGCGGAAUGUAUGGUGUAGCGGUGAAAUGCUUAGAGAUCAUACAGAACACCGAUUGCGAAGGCAGCUUACCAAACUAUAUCUGACGUUGAGGCACGAAAGCGUGGGGAGCAAACAGGAUUAGAUACCCUGGUAGUCCACGCCGUAAACG
rnacentral:rRNA from 1 species